UGAUAGCAGCAUCUUUGUCACCCCCCGCAACCCUCGGUGCCCCCAGCUCUGCGCUGUGUUACACUCAGUCACUGACUGAGCCUCACAACACCCCUGUGAGGUAGGGACGGAGACACCCGGUUCACAGAUGGGGUGUCCGAGCAUCCUCUUGCUGCCACAGGCACCCUCGUGCUCACACUCGCCUCUAGAACUACGACAUGCAGCGACCUGGCCUGAACCGAGCAGCAAAACUCACAUUGGUUGAAUAAAUUGGGCUCAAACUCGAAUAAGAAACAUCAUUUCAAGGUGGUCCCUCAGCCAUUUGACUUUGCAACAACCUCAAGUUAAAUCAGAGCUGACACCUGGAGUUAUGCCCUGCUCAGCCUUUUGGGUCCGAAGCGGGAGAAGCUGGAUGGGCUGAUGCUGGGUUGGGGUGUGCAGGGCCCUCCUGAGCAGCAGGACCCCACACUUGCACCCCGAGCACGGGUAAGGUCCCCACUGAGCAGCCCUUUGUCACUCCAUGGGGAACCCCACUGGAUGCAUGGAGAAAACAAGAAGCCAACAGGGAUGCGAUGGUCUCACAGGGACCCACUGGCAACGGGCUCACUGGUGGCUCUAGAUCACAGAAUCACGGAUCCCUUGGGUUGGAAAGGACCUUAAAGCUCAUCCAGUUCCAACCCCCUGCCACGGGCAGGGACACCUUCCACUAGAGCAGGUUGCUCCAAGCCCCUGUGUCCAACCUGGCCUUGAACACUGCCAGGGAUGGGGCAGCCACAGCUUCUCUGGAAGUGCCUCACCCCCCUCCUAGAUCUGCUUUGGCCCAUCUUUUAGUACAAGCAACAGAGGUGAAGCACUGCAGACCAACGUCCUCCCUUGCCAGAGCAGGUCCGAGGUGGGCAGCAGCAGCAGAACCAUCCCUUGUGCAUGGACACAUCCCCAUCACAUCACAAUGCCCAAGGGCACUGACAGCAUCAGUCCCCACGGACCCAGCACAGGCAGCUCAGAGCAAGGUACCCACAGAGC
rnacentral:lncRNA from 1 species